rnacentral:rRNA from 1 species
GAUGAACGCUGGCGGCGUGCCUAAUACAUGCAAGUCGAGCGAACAGAUGAGGAGCUUGCUCCUCUGACGUUAGCGGCGGACGGGUGAGUAACACGUGGAUAACCUACCUAUAAGACUGGGAUAACUUCGGGAAACCGGAGCUAAUACCGGAUAAUAUAUUGAACCGCAUGGUUCAAUAGUGAAAGACGGUUUUGCUGUCACUUAUAGAUGGAUCCGCGCCGCAUUAGCUAGUUGGUAAGGUAACGGCUUACCAAGGCAACGAUGCGUAGCCGACCUGAGAGGGUGAUCGGCCACACUGGAACUGAGACACGGUCCAGACUCCGACGGGAGGCAGCAGUAGGGAAUCUUCCGCAAUGGGCGAAAGCCUGACGGAGCAACGCCGCGUGAGUGAUGAAGGUCUUCGGAUCGUAAAACUCUGUUAUUAGGGAAGAACAAAUGUGUAAGUAACUAUGCACGUCUUGACGGUACCUAAUCAGAAAGCCACGGCUAACUACG